GUCAGCUUGGCCGAGUGGUUAAGGCGUAUGACUUGAAAUCAUAUGGGAUCUCCCGCGCAGGUUCAAACCCUGCAGCUGACG
rfam:Lobosporangium transversale strain NRRL 3116 BCR41scaffold_17, whole genome shotgun sequence.